rnacentral:rRNA from 1 species
UACGAAGGGGGCUAGCGUUGUUCGGAAUUACUGGGCGUAAAGGGCUCGUAGGCGGCCAACUAAGUCAGACGUGAAAUCCCCAGGCUCAACCUGGGAACUGCGUCUGAUACUGGAUGGCUUGAAUUCGGGAGAGGGAUGCAGAAUUCCAGGUGUAGCGGUGAAAUGCGUAGAUAUCUGGAGGAAUACCGGUGGCGAAGGCGGCAUCCUGGACCGACAUUGACGCUGAUGAGCGAAAGCUAGGGGAGCGAACGGG